rnacentral:rRNA from 1 species
UACGAAUGGAGCGAGCGUUGUUCGGCAUCACUGGGCUUAAAGCGUGCGUAGGCGGUCAUGAAAGUCAGAAGUGAAAGCCCUGGGCUUAACCCGGGAAUUGCUUUUGAAACUCCGUGACUAGAAACCGGGAGAGGUUAGCAGAAUUCCGAGUGUAGAGGUGAAAUUCGCAGAUAUUCGGAGGAAUACCAGUGGCGAAGGCGGCUAACUGGACCGGUAUUGACGCUGAGGCACGAAAGCGUGGGUAGCAAACAGG